AGGAAGGUGGGGAUGACGUCAAGUCAUCAUGGCCCUUACGGCCAGGGCUACACACGUGCUACAAUGGUCGGUACAAAGGGUUGCCAAGCCGCGAGGUGGAGCUAAUCCCAUAAAACCGAUCGUAGUCCGGAUCGCAGUCUGCAACUCGACUGCGUGAAGUCGGAAUCGCUAGUAAUCGUGAAUCAGAAUGUCACGGUGAAUACGUUCCCGGGCCUUGUACACACCGCCCGUCACACCAUGGGAGUGGGUUGCUCCAGAAGUAGCUAGUCUAACCGCAAGGGGGACGGUUACCACGGAGUGAUUCAUGACUGGGGUGAAGC
rnacentral:rRNA from 1 species